CUGCUGCUAAACAGAGAGCACAGUUGCACUUGGCAAAAUCAGUUCCAGUAAUGAAUGAAAUAAUUACACAUUUACCCCCAACAUUGUUAUUACAAUCUGCAAUGACUGCAACAAAGCAAGGAUGCUGGAAGAGUCAUGUGAUCUACUCCAAAGAAUGGAAAUUUGCCAAAUUUUACAUUAAUCUAUAACCAGUUGUAAAAUAUCUUCUCCAUUUGCCGCUCCAAUCAUUGUGGGCAACUGUGUCUGCAUCCACACACACAUUAUACACACUCUCCACUGAGUAAUGGAUUAUUCACACUCUACAGAUGGUCAAGACUAGCAGCACCAAAACAAAGACUGUCUGUGGAUGUGGUGCAUGGGCAUCUGUCUCAGCUGCACAGCAGACUAACUGCACUAGAGAUGAGAAUUCAGACAAUCUGCUCUCCAACAGCAAAUCAAAUCCUUUCUGUAGAGCACUGAGGGGAGGCUGGAGGCAGAGGUGGAAGCUCUACUGCAGGCCCAACAGGACCUGGUGGACUUCUUCUGUGAGGAUGAUGUCACGUUCAAGCUGGAGGAGGCCUGCAGCAUCUUUUACUCCUUCAACGUUCGCUUUCAGACAUCUUUAGAAUAGAAUGCAAAGAGGGAGCUUCAGGAACAAAAGUGAGCAGAGGGGGGAGGAUGGAGAGGGACUGGGACAGGACAGGGAGAUGUUGCUCCAUAGCCACCUGUUCAUCACUGGAGAUGGGACCACCACCCCAGACAAAGCCUCAGCAGACUGUGGCUGCUCCCCCCUCUGACCCCAUCAACAGUAUGCCUGCCCAGGAGACCACACCUCCGGUGGACAGCCCACAGUCAUCUCUGGAGAGUGCCCACUGCUACUCACAGUUGAGGGACUAGCAGGAGCAGGACAGCAGCAGCACCCCAGGUCCACAGAGCUGCAGCACCCCAGGUCCACAGAGCGGCAGAACCCCAGAUCCACAGAGCUGCAGCACCCCAGGUCCACAGAGCGGCAGAACCCCAGGUCCACAGAGCGGCAGCACCCCAGGUCCACAGAGCGGCAGCACCCCAGGUCCAGGGGGAUAACAUGCAAGCAAAAAGUUAUGUACACCAGCUUCUGGGCUGCAGAGAAAAACUCUGCCCAGGAGCAGGGCGUCCACACCCUCUGCUAGCCCCACUUCCACCCUUUCCUCUACUGCCUCUGCCAUCCCCACUUCCACAGCCUCUGCCAUCCCCAAAAUGCAGGGCAGGUCAGAGGCAGCCUCCACAUGGUCCUCACUUCUCCCUCUCAGAGACUCAAUGCAUUCCCCAAUUCCAUUCACCUCCAGAGAUUAUACUGAGGUCAGACAGGAAGCGAUUGUUGGGGAGAAAAUUAUUUAUCUGAAUGAGCAGACAAAAAAAAGAAUCCACUUUGUCAACUACUAGAAAAAUACAAACCGAAGGAGAAGAUAAAGGAGCAGGAAAGAGAGAUGGAGGGAGAGAUCAUGGGAGGGAGUGAGAGGGAAAGAGAGAAAGGGAAAAGGCAGAGGAGAAGAAGCAGAUGAAAACAAAGCUAAAGUGGUGGGAGAUGGAAGUCAAAGUGUAGCCGGUGAUGGAGUCAGCUCUGUGUGUGUCCAAGCAGCUGCCCCUGCACCCUGACUGUCAUACCUCUAUACCUUGCCGUGCCCUUCAGAGCUCUGUGACCACCAGUGCCAAGGUCAUACACAGCUGCUGCGGCUGUGAAUAAGGACAGGAGCAGCCGGUCCACAGUAACAAAAACCCCAGUAAAAAAGCUGCCUGGCCACAGGUCGAAGCUCCCAACUCCACUAUCCAUGUGGAAGUGAGGCCACCCACACCCACUCGGUCUAUGACCCAGACGUACAUAAAAACCCUCAGAUCUAAUAUGAACAGAUUGCAAUUGGGAUUCAAGAAAAUUACAAGUAUUAGUAAUAUCACACUUCCUUGGCUUUAGCUGAGUAGGCUACCCUGAAUUAUGUUGAACUGAGGUGAAAGUAGAAUAUUCUAUUACUAUGCUAGACAUAUUAUUCAAGGUAAUGAAAUAAUUGGAAAUGUUUGCUCAUCACUCUGUAUGCUGUUUUUUUAUUCAGCUAAUUUAAUAGAUGCAUCUAUUUUUAUAAUGAUUUACUACUGAAAGUGUGAUUAAUAUUAUGAGGUAGGUAAUAAAAGAACACCCAAUGGGUCUGGUGAAUUUACCUGUAAUAAUAAAAUGUUGCAAAAUAAAGGAAAAAUUAUGUAUUGAUGAGGUGGUAUAUUCAACAAGAUGCUUGAAUAUGGCGUGAAUGGAUGAGGUGGGGAUGAACAGAGAAGGAUCUGGUCAGGAAUAAAACUCACUUUGAUGGGGUUUGUGUGCUUACUGUAGUGUAGCAGCUAGCUACUACAACAACCAGAACACAAUACAAUUUGGGCAAGAAUCCCCGG